rnacentral:rRNA from 1 species
GCAUGGUGGGGGUUGGAAAGAUUUUUCGGUUGGGGAUGGGCUCGCGGCCUAUCAGCUUGUUGGUGAGGUAAUGGCUCACCAAGGCGUCGACGGGUAGCCGGCCUGAGAGGGUGACCGGCCACACUGGGACUGAGACACGGCCCAGACUCCUACGGGAGGCAGCAGUGGGGAAUAUUGCACAAUGGGCGGAAGCCUGAUGCAGCAACGCCGCGUGAGGGAUGACGGCCUUCGGGUUGUAAACCUCUUUUAGCAGGGAAGAAGCGAGAGUGACGGUACCUGCAGAAAAAGCACCGGCUAACUACGUGCCAGCAGCCGCGGUAAUACGUAGGGUGCAAGCGUUAUCCGGAAUUAUUGGGCGUAAAGAGCUCGUAGGCGGUUUGUCGCGUCUGCUGUGAAAUCCCGAGGCUCAACCUCGGGCCUGCAGUGGGUACGGGCAGACUAGAGUGCGGUAGGGGAGAUUGGAAUUCCUGGUGUAGCGGUGGAAUGCGCAGAUAUCAGGAGGAACACCGAUGGCGAAGGCAGAUCUCUGGGCCGUAACUGACGCUGAGGAGCGAAAGGGUGGGGAGCAAACAGGCUUAGAUACCCUGGUAGUCCACCCCGUAAACGUUGGGAACUAGUUGUGGGGUCCAUUCCACGGAUUCCGUGACGAAGCU